rnacentral:rRNA from 1 species
CAACUUUAAGCAACGGAUCUCUUGGCUCUCGCAUCGAUGAAGAACGCAGCGAAAUGCGAUAAGUAAUGUGAAUUGCAGAAUUCAGUGAAUCAUCGAAUCUUUGAACGCACCUUGCGCUCUUUGGUAUUCCGAAGAGCAUGCCUGUUUGAGUGUCAUU